GAGGUUCUCGUUAUGGUUUCUAGUAAUACUAGUACUUUAUUUUACUGCAAUUUUGAUGAGAACAAUGGAUGUUGAUCUGUGAUUAGUCUUGAGACUAGUAUUCUGCUGAUACAUUGCAGCAGACCAGUUAUUUGUGCUUAUCUAGAGGGUUGUUCCAUUUUGAUUUUAAUUAUGUGUUCAGUUAGAUAAUUGAAGUGUUAAAAGUCCUACUGACAUCCAUUACUGGAUGGUGUUGCCCUAUCCAUUUUCUG
rnacentral:lncRNA from 1 species